GACGAACGCUGGCGGCGUGCUUAACACAUGCAAGUCGAACGGAAAGGCCCUGCUUUUGUGGGGUGCUCGAGUGGCGAACGGGUGAGUAACACGUGAGUAACCUGCCCUUGACUUUGGGAUAACUUCAGGAAACUGGGGCUAAUACCGGAUAGAAUCUCCUGCUGCAUGGUGGGGGUUGGAAAGUUUCGGCGGUUGGGGAUGGACUCGCGGCUUAUAAGCUUGUUGGUGAGGUAGUGGCUUACCAAGGCUUUGACGGGUAGCCGGCCUGUGAGGGUGACCGGCCACAUUGGGACUGAGAUAGGGACCAGACUCCAACGGGAGGCAGCAGUGGGGAAUAUUGCACAAUGGGCGGAAGCCUGAUGCAGCAACGCCGGGUGCGGGAUGACGGCCUUCGGGUUGUAAACCGCUUUCGCCUGUGACGAAGCGUGAGUGACGGUAAUGGGUAAAGAAGCACCGGCUAACUACGUG
rnacentral:rRNA from 1 species